UUUUCUGUUUCAUUAGUUUCUAUUUGUAUAUUUAUUUAGUUCUUCUUUUACAGCUUCUUGAGAGGCAUUGAGGCAUUCUGGACAGCACCUGAGAAUAAGAAAACGCUCACGUUUCUGCCUCUUGGUCUGGCUGGAAGGGAUUAUUACUUCCUUGCCUUGGAUAGGUCUGCCCUCCUCCAACUUUAAUGAAGAGAUUCACAGGAUGACUUUUAAAUUGCAUCGCACCUGUUCAAAAGCUGAGAGGAAGCACGGAGACCACAUACUGGAGAUGCUUUCGUGUGAACUGGAAGCUAUCACUGCAUCAAAACUUGAGCCAGGGAGAGGAUGAUCUAGCACCAUACUGAAACUGCAGAUACAGCCAGCUCUAGGCAAAGUUGUGAAGGAAGAAAACUUGGUCACCUUCCUGCAUUGAUUCUCCUCUUUUAUUGCAUUCUUCCUUCUAAGCCAGUCAGUGAGUGCAUUCCUGAAAUAUUUAUUUAAAGGAAAUUUCUAGAAACCUGGUAGAUU
rnacentral:lncRNA from 1 species